GACGAACGCUGGCGGCGUGCUUAACACAUGCAAGUCGAACGGAAAGGCUCUGCUUUUGUGGGGUGCUCGAGUGGCGAACGGGUGAGUAACACGUGAGUAACCUGCCCUUGACUUUGGGAUAACUUCAGGAAACUGGGGCUAAUACCGGAUAGGAGCCCCUGCUGCAUGGUGGGGGUUGGAAAGUUUCGGCGGUUGGGGAUGGACUCGCGGCUUAUCAGCUUGUUGGUGGGGUAGUGGCUUACCAAGGCUUUGACGGGUAGCCGGCCUGAGAGGGUGACCGGCCACAUUGGGACUGAGAUACGGCCCAGACUCCUACGGGAGGCAGCAGUGGGGAAUAUUGCACAAUGGGCGGAAGCCUGAUGCAGCAACGCCGCGUGCGGGAUGACGGCCUUCGGGUUGUAAACCGCUUUCGCCUGUGACGAAGCGUGAGUGACGGUAAUGGGUAAAGAAGCACCGGCUAACUACGUG
rnacentral:rRNA from 1 species